GACGAACGCUGGCGGCGUGCUUAACACAUGCAAGUCGAACGGAAAGGCCCUGCUUUUGUGGGGUGCUCGAGUGGCGAACGGGUGAGUAACACGUGAGUAACCUGCCCUUGACUUUGGGAUAACUUCAGGAAACUGGGGCUAAUACCGGAUAGGAGCUCCUGCUGCAUGGUGGGGGUUGGAAAGUUUCGGCGGUUGGGGAUGGACUCGCGGCUUAUCAGCUUGUUGGUGGGGUAGUGGCUUACCAAGGCUUUGACGGGUAGCCGGCCUGAGAGGGUGACCGGCCACAUUGGGACUGAGAUACGGCCCAGACUCCUACGGGAGGCAGCAGUGGGGAAUAUUGCACAAUGGGCGGAAGCCUGAUGCAGCAACGCCGCGUGCGGGAUGACGGCCUUCGGGUAAACCGCUUUCGCCUGUGACGAAGCGUGAGUGACGGUAAUGGGUAAAGAAGCACCGGCUAACUACGUG
rnacentral:rRNA from 1 species